CGCCGCUCGAACCUCUUGGUUCGGUGAUGGGGCUUCGCCUGGUGCCUUUGGCGCCUGGGCGGCCCUCAAAUUCAGUGGCGGCUCCUCACGGGAACCCUCAGCGCAGUAAUUCAUGCUCGCUCCGGGCCCUGGAGGGUGCUGGCCGUUAAACCGAUCACCAGAUCAUUUCUACCC
rnacentral:misc_RNA from 1 species